UACGUAGGGUGCGAGCGUUGUCCGGAAUUACUGGGCGUAAAGAGCUCGUAGGUGGUUUGUCGCGUUGUCCGUGAAAACUCACAGCUUAACUGUGGGCGUGCGGGCGAUACGGGCAGACUGGAGUACUGCAGGGGAGACUGGAAUUCCUGGUGUAGCGGUGGAAUGCGCAGAUAUCAGGAGGAACACCUGAGGUGAAGACGGGUUGCUGGGCCGACACUGACGCUGACAGCGCGAAAGCCAGGGGAGCAAACGGG
rnacentral:rRNA from 1 species